rnacentral:rRNA from 1 species
GACGAACGCUGGCGGCGUGCUUAACACAUGCAAGUCUAACGGAAAGGCCCUGCUUUUGUGGGGUGCUCGAGUGGCGAACGGGUGAGUAACACGUGAGUAACCUGCCCUUGACUUUGUGAUAACUUCAGGAAACUGGGGCGAAUACCGGAUAGGAGCUCCUGCUGCAUUGUGGGGGGUGGCAAUUUUCGGCGGUUGGGGAUGGACUCGCGGCUUAUCAGCUUGUUGGUGGGGUAGUGGCUUACCAAGGCUUUGACGGGUAGCCGGCCUGAGAGGGUGACCGGCCACAUUGGGACUGAGAUACGGCCCAGACUCCUACGGGAGGCAGCAGUGGGGAAUAUUGCACAAUGGGCGGAAGCCUGAUGCAGCAACGCCGCGUGCGGGAUGACGGCCUUCGGGUUGUAAACCGCUUUCGCCUGUGACGAAGCGUGAGUGACGGUAAUGGGUAAAGAAGCACCGGCUAACUACGUG